rnacentral:rRNA from 1 species
CCUACGGGAGGCAGCAGUGAGGAAUAUUGGUCAAUGGACGAGAGUCUGAACCAGCCAAGUAGCGUGAAGGAUGACUGCCCUAUGGGUUGUAAACUUCUUUUAUAAAGGAAUAAAACGAGGCACGUGUGCCUGUUUGCAUGUACUUUAUGAAUAAGGAUCGGCGAACUCCGUGCCAGCAGCAGCGGUAAUACGGAGGAUCCGAGCGUUAUCCGGAUUUAUUGGGUUUAAAGGGAGCGUAGAUGGGUUGUUAAGUCAGUUGUGAAAGUUUGCGGCUCAACCGGAAAAUUGCAAUUGAUACUGGCAGUCUUGAGUACAGUUGAGGUAGGCGGAAUUCGUGGUGUAGCGGUGAAAUGCUUAGAUAUCACGAAGAACCCCGAUUGCGAAGGCAGCUUACUAAACUGUGACUGACAUUGAUGCUCGAAAGUGUGGGUAUCAAACAGGAUUAGAUACCCUUGUAGUC